GAUCUUCCACCUCUACUUAUGUGACUGCAGAGAGGAGGACAGAGAACAGUGGACACACAGUUCAACAUGAUGGACUACAGGACAGGACUGCUGCUUCUAACUUUCUGCUGGGCAGGUGUUGAUGGUCAGACUCUGACAGAAUCUGAACCAGCAGUUAAAAGGCCUGGAGAAUCUCACAGAUUGACAUGUACAACAUCUGGAUUCACAUUAAGCAGCUACCAUAUGAACUGGAUCAGACAGGCUCCUGGAAAAGGACUGGAGUGGAUUGCUUUUAUAUACACAGGCAGUUCUUAUAUCUAUUACUCCCAGUCAGUCCAGGGUAGAUUCACCAUCUCCAGAGACGACUCCAGCAGUAAAGUCUAUCUGCAGAUGAACAGUCUGAAGACCGAGGACACAGCAGUGUAUUACUGUGCUAGAGACACACAGUGAGAGACAGUGACAGGAGACUCAUACAAAAACUACUUCCUGUAUUUAACACCACCACUGAGAACAUUAACUUGUCUCAGUUUCUCAUUUAUUUGAUAUACUGAUUGUUCCUAAAAUGUUUUUAACUUAAUUUAACAUCAACUCUUUUUUUUAAAUCUCUAUAAAAUAUUUUGAAUUAGCUA